UUGAUGAGCUGGGAAACCCCUCCUUCGCCCACUCCACUCCUCUCGCCCCAUUCCCCACCAUCCGCCGCCCUCCCAUGUCCUCCCUCGCGGCCGCCGCCGCCGCCGCCGUCGCCGCCGCCUCCACCUGGGUAAAAAGCCUCUCCCGCAUCAUCCCCUCCUCCACGCCAGCCGUAAAACCACCCAAGCGCAAUCCCAAGACCACCACCGAUGCUGGCUCCAUCCCGGAUCAGAAGCUCCCGAAGCCCCUCGGCGCACAUCCCGCCGGCGAAGCCGAGUCCGACGCGGGCCACAAGCUAGGGAAGCCCCUUGGCGGUGUCCUCAAGGCCCUCAUCAGGGAGCGGGACCCUGAUAAGCUGGUCUCCAAGUUCGUCGAAGCCUCGUCCGCAUCGUCCCGCUUCCGCGACGGGCGCCGCGCGUACGAUGUAGCGGUGAGCCGCCUCACUUCCUUGGGCCGCAAAGACGGCAUCGAGGCCAUCAUCGAGGCGCAGAAGCCCUUCCUCGAGACCUCGAGCGAGGGAUUUGCCACGCGCCUCAUCCGCCUCUACGGCAGUGCCUCCAUGCCAUCCCACGCGGCCGCAACCUUCCAUCUACUCCCCGCGCGGCAUAAGUCCACGAGGACAUUCAACGCCGUCCUUGCCGCGUACGCCGAGGCCGGAGAUGUUGCCGCGCUCACUGCUGCAUUCCAGGAGAUCCCAGCCGCCCACCCCUCCAUUGUGCCCGACCUAUACUCUUACAACGCGCUCAUCCGCACAUUGUGCCAGAAGUCCAACCUCUCAGCCGCUCUUUAUGCUGUCCAUCUCAUGAAGAAGCACGGUGUUUCACCUGACAUUAUUACUUUCAACUCGCUCUUGGAUGGUUUUCACAACAGUGGCCGUAAUGAUGAAGCCGAGAAAGUAUGGCAAAUGAUUAAGGAGAGGAAUUUGGAGCCAGACGCAAAAUGCUACAAUGCAAAGCUGCGUGGUUUGGUUGCACAAGGGAGGAUUGAUGAUGCAGCUUCUGUGCUUGAGAGGUUGGAGAAGGACGGGCCAAAACCCAAUAUAGUAUCCUACAAUGAGUUGAUUCGAGGAUAUUGCAAAGCAGGGAGGUUCCAGGAGGCCAAGAAGGUGUAUGAUAAUUUGAUGAAGAAUGAGUGUGUCCCAAAUAAGGGGACAUAUGAGAUUCUCGUGCCACACCUUCUGCAGGCUGGAGAGCUGGAUUGUGCACUGAGUUACUGUUAUGAUAUCUUUGCUAGUAAAAAGUGCUGUGGAGUCGAGUGGGGUGUGCUGCAGGAUGUAGUGAAUGCAUUGGUAGAUGCAUCGAGGGUGGUGGAGGCCACCAAGCUUGUUGAGCUUGACUGGCAGAAGUACUACCAUCGGAAGGGUUUGAGGAUGCCGCCUAGUGCUGGAACUGAUGAGGAAGAAUCAAUAUCAGGAGAAAAGGAGUGAAAGUGGAAGAUAAGACUGAAAAAUAAAAUUCAUAGGCUCGUACGCUAGAUUUUAUUUCAAGUGUAUACAUUCUUUUUUUAACAAGAGGAUUUUAUUUAAUUUGUCAGGAUCAUUGUUGUCCUGAAAUUUACUCUGAGCUUUGUCGUCUUGUCAGGUACACACACUGCUAGCUUGUAAGGAUUUCAAUAUUGGGACUUCAUACUGCACAUGAACUCGAGAGCAAACCAUGUGCUAAGGCUAGGCUGUCAAGGGAGCAUCUUGGAAAGACACCCGGAUUGUUCUGGGAAAGAUAAGCAGCUACUUCAUCAAUGGCUGAUUCUGUGCUCGGAGGGACAAUUAUUGAUGAUGAAGGGUCGCUUGCAACUGCUGGACAAAAGAAGAGGAGAGCUCCUGAGGAUCGCUUGGCAAGGGGGAGCAAGAUCGUCCCUGGGCGCGACGGACCUGGGCUCUGUGUGAGAGCUCAUUCUCAUUCGCUGUUCGAUCUAGGUGGUAGUAGUUUUAGUCUAUCUGCUGGGAUUUUUGGCGCCUGUACCUUGCUUCUCUAGUAUUAUACUUUUAUGUGUAGUCUUUGCUGGUCCUGGCUUCAGCUACUCUAGCUUGUGUUGAGCGCUGUUGAACAGUUUGUGUGUUUGCUGUGGCCUCGUUUUAAUGAAAUGGGGCGGGGGGAAACCCCUUUUCGAUCA